rnacentral:ncRNA from 1 species
UAGGUUUUGCUUUGGCCUAAGAUUAAAUUAUAUCUUUUAAGCGCAUGCUAGUUUUAGCCUUCCAACAAGAUUUAAACAAGCUAAAAGCUUUUGUAUUCAUUUUUUUUCUUAGGUGACAAACAUAAAAAAAAAAACUUGUUAAUGCAGUGUAUAUUAUUACUAUAACAGCGAUAGCUGGAGGCAGAAAUAGAUAAUAUAGGUGGAUAAAAAAGUGCCAGCAUCCGCGGUUAUACUUUUACCUAUAGUUUAAUUAAUAGGUUAAGUGGUAAAAUAUACUAGAGUAAAAAAAAUCAGAUAAAAAGUUCAAUUUACCAGAUUUUUUUUUUUUACCUUAUACUCUUUUUUAUACCCCACGAGACUUUCUUAUAGAACUAGGAUUUGGUACCCUACUACUAAUUAGUGUAAAUAAAAAUACCAGGGAAUUACGAGCUACUAGCUUAAAACCCAAAAAGCUUGGCGGUCUUCUUUAAAACCAGGGGAGCUUGUCUUGUAAACGAUAAUCCGCGUUAUAUCUUACCUAUAAUAGUAGUCAGUUUGUAUACCCCCGUCUUGUUAACCACAUAAGUGAAGAAAAGUUAGCUGGGAUAUUUAUAUUAUUAGACGUCAGGUCAAGGUGCAACUUAUAUAUAGGAAACGAUUAGCUACUUUAUUAUUAAUAAAUAGAGAAUUAUAUUAAAAAAAAUUUGAAAUAGUACUUGGAAGUAAUUAAAAAUUAAUAUUUUUUAAUGAAUAACCCUUAGAAGGUGUACAAAUCGCCCGUCGAUCCCCCUGGAUGGGGGAUAAGUCGUAACAUAGUAGGUUUACCUG